CACACGACUCUCAGCAACGGAUAUCUCGGCUCUCGCAUCGAUGAAGAAUGUAGCAAAAUGCGAUACCUGGUGUGAAUUGCAGAAUUCUGCGAACCAUCGAGUUUUUGAACGCAAGUUGCGCCCAAGGCCUUCUGGCUGAGGGCACGCCUGCCUGGGCGUCAUGC
rnacentral:rRNA from 1 species